GGGCCCGCACAAGCGGAGGAACAUGUGGUUUAAUUCGAUGAUACGCGAGGAACCUUACCCGGGCUUGAAAUGCAGAUGAUCGAAGUGGAGACACUUUUUCCAGUAAUGGCAUCUGUGUAGGUGCUGCAUGGUUGUCGUCAGCUCGUGCCGUGAGGUGUCGGCUUAAGUGCCAUAACGAGCGCAACCCUCAUUACUAGUUACCAUCAGGUAGAGCUGGGGACUCUAGUGAGACUGCCGGCGUAAGCUGUGAGGAAGGUGGGGAUGACGUCAAAUCAGCACGGCCCUUAUGUCCGGGGCGACACACGUGUUACAAUGGGGAGUACAGCGGGAUGCUACCUGGCGACAGGAUGCCAAUCUUUUAAAACUCUUCUCAGUUCGGAUCGGAGUCUGCAACUCGACUUCGUGAAGCUGGAUUCGCUAGUAAUCGCGCAUCAGCCACGGCGCGGUGAAUACGUUCCCGGGCCUU
rnacentral:rRNA from 1 species